rnacentral:rRNA from 1 species
UACAGAGGUGGCGAGCGUUGUUCGGAUUUACUGGGCGUAAAGGGUGCGUAGGUGGUUUCGUGUGUCGGGUGUGAAAUCCCACGGCUUAACUGUGGAACUGCGCCCGAGACUGCGAGGCUAGAGUGCAGGAGAGGAGAGUGGAAUUCUUGGUGUAGCGGUGAAAUGCGUUGAUAUCAAGAGGAACACCGGUGGCGAAGGCGGCUCUCUAGAAUGCAACUGACACUGAGGCACGAAAGCUGGGGGAGCAAACAGG